CCCUUAGAUGUUCUGGGCCGCACGCGCGCUACACUGAUGCAUUCAACGAGUCUAAAACCUGCUCUGAUAGGGGUGGGUAAUCUUUUGAAUGUGCAUCGUGAUUGGGAUAGAUGAUUGCAAUUUUUCAUCUUCAACGAGGAAUGCCUAGUAAACGCAAGUCAUCAGCUUGCAUUGAUUACGUCCCUGCCCUUUGUACACACCGCCCGUCGCUCCUACCGAUUGAAUGAUCCGAUGAAUAUCAUGGAUUGAGGAUGCAAGUAGGUUCGCCUAUCUUCAUCUUCGAGAAGUGAAGUAAAUCUUAUCAUUUAGAGGAAGGAGAAGGCGGAACA
rnacentral:rRNA from 1 species